rnacentral:rRNA from 1 species
AACAACUCUCGGCAAUGGAUAUCUUGGCUCUCGCAUUGAUAAAGAACGUAGUGAAAUGCAAUACUUGGUGUGAAUUACAGAAUCCCUUGAACCAUCGAGUCUUUGAACGCAAGUUGCACCCGAACCCAAUAGGUUGGGGGCACGUCUAGCUGGGUGUCACACAAAG